rnacentral:rRNA from 1 species
AAGGGUCCUUCGGGGCCUGAGUAAAGUGGCGCACGGGUGAGUAACACGUGGAUAAUCUGCCCUACAGUUGGGAAUAACCCACCGAAAGGUGUGCUAAUACCGAAUAACGCUGAUUGACCUUGGUUGAUCAGCCAAAGAGAGCCUCUUCUUGAAAGCCCUCGCUGUUGGAUGAGUCCGCGUACCAUUAGCUUGUUGGUAGGGUAAUGGCCUACCAAGGCUGUGAUGGUUAGCUGGUCUGAGAGGAUGAUCAGCCACACUGGAACUGAGACACGGUCCAGACUCCUACGGGAGGCAGCAGUGAGGAAUCUUGCGCAAUGGGGGAAACCCUGACGCAGCAACGCCGCGUGAGUGAGGAAGGUCUUCGGAUCGUAAAGCUCUGUCAGUUGGAAAGAAACGCCUGUAUGUUAAUACCAUGCAGGUUUGACGGUACCAACAGAGGAAGCACCGGCUAACUCCGUGCCAGCAGCCGCGGUAAUACGGGGGGUGCAAGCGUUGUUCGGAAUUAUUGGGCGUAAAGAGCGUGUAGGCGGCUUGAUGUGUCAGAUGUGAAAGCCCUGGGCUUACCCCAGGAAGUGCAUUUGAAACUGUCAGCUUGAGUAAGGGGAGGGGGGGAAGCCGGAAUUCCUGGUGGGUAGAAGUGUGAAAUUCGUAGAUUAUCAGGAGGAACCACCGGUGUGGGCGAAGGCGGGCUUCCCUGGCCCUUAUACUGACGCUGAGACGGCGAGGAGCGUGGGGUAGCAACAGGAUAGAUACCCUGUUAGUCACGCUGUAA